AUUGAACGCUGGCGGCAGGCCUAACACAUGCAAGUCGAGCGAGCGGCGCACGGGUGAGUAAUGUAUGGGGACUGCCCGAUAGAGGGGGAUAACUACUGGAAACGGUAGCUAAUACCGCAUACUAUCGGAUAACCCAUAUGGGAUUAGCUAGUAGGUGAGGUAAUGGCUCACCUAGGCGACGAUCCCUAGCUGGUCUGAGAGGAUGAUCAGCAACACUGGGACAGAGACACGGCCCAAGCUCCUACGGAGGCAGCAGUGGCGAAUAUUUCACGAUGGGCGCAAGCCUGAUGCAGCCAUGCCGCGUGUAUGAAGAAGGCCCUAGGGUUGUAAAGUACAUUCAGUCGGGAGGCGUUACCGACAGAAGAAGCCCCGGCUAACUCCGUGCGAGGAGCCGAGGUAAUAC
rnacentral:rRNA from 1 species